rnacentral:rRNA from 1 species
UACGUAGGGUGCAAGCGUUGUCCGGAAUUACUGGGCGUAAAGCGCAUGUAGGCGGCAACGCAAGUCGGGCGUGAAAUCCCACGGCUCAACCGUGGAAGUGCAUUCGAAACUGCGUAGCUAGAGUCCUGGAGAGGAAGGUGGAAUGCUUGGUGUAGAGGUGAAAUUCGUAGAUAUCAAGCGGAACACCGGUGGCGAAGGCGGCCUUCUGGACAGUGACUGACGCUGAGAUGCGAAAGCGUGGGGAGCAAACAGG